AUGUCGAGCGGACAGAUGGGAGCUUGCUCCCUGAUGUUAGCGGCGGACGGGUGAGAAACACGUGGGUAACCUGCCUGUAAGACUGGGAUAACUCCGGGAAACCGGGGCUAAUACCGGAUGCUUGUUUGAACCGCAUGGUUCAAACAUAAAAGGUGGCUUCGGCUACCACUUACAGAUGGACCCGCGGCGCAUUAGCUAGUUGGUGAGGUAACGGCUCACCAAGGCAACGAUGCGUAGCCGACCUGAGAGGGUGAUCGGCCACACUGGGACUGAGACACGGCCCAGACUCCUACGGGAGGCAGCAGUAGGGAAUCUUCCGCAAUGGACGAAAGUCUGACGGAGCAACGCCGCGUGAGUGAUGAAGGUUUUCGGAUCGUAAAGCUCUGUUGUUAGGGAAGAACAAGUACCGUUCGAAUAGGGCGGUACCUUGACGGUACCUAACCAGAAAGCCACGGCUAACUACGUGCCAGCAGCCGCGGUAAUACGUAGGUGGCAAGCGUUGUCCGGAAUUAUUGGGCGUAAAGGGCUCGCAGGCGGUUUCUUAAGUCUGAUGUGAAAGCCCCCGGCUCAACCGGGGAGGGUCAUUGGAAACUGGGGAACUUGAGUGCAGAAGAGGAGAGUGGAAUUCCACGU
rnacentral:rRNA from 2 species